AGCAACAUGGUGUAGUGGUAACAUGUCGGCCUCAUAAGCCCAAGUCUCAGGUUCGAUUCCUGAUGUAGCUA
rnacentral:tRNA from 1 species